CCUCCAUGCUUCUAGUCCCUUCCUUGAAGCAGUCAGAUAAGACAAGUGACAAGCCUCAAGCAAGGGACUUCGAGCUGGUGG
rnacentral:pre_miRNA from 1 species